rnacentral:rRNA from 1 species
CCUACGGGGGGCAGCAGUGAGGAAUAUUGGUCAAUGGACGCAAGUCUGAACCAGCCAUGCCGCGUGCAGGAAGACGGCCCUAUGAGUUGUAAACUGCUUUUGUACGAGGGUAAACGCAGAUACGCGUACCUGUGUGAAAGUAUCUUACGAAUAAGGAUCGGCUAACUCCGUGCCAGCAGCCGCGGUAAGACGGAGGAUUCAAGCGUUAUCCGGAUUUAUUGGGUUUAAAGGGUGCGUAGGCGGUCGGUUAAGUUAGAUGUGAAAUCCCGAGGCUCAACUUCGGAAUUGCAUUUGAUACUGUUAGGCUAGAGUCUAGUUGCGGUAGGCGGAAUUUAUGGUGUAGCGGUGAAAUGCUUAGAGAUCAUGAAGAACACCGAUUGCGAAGGCAGCUUCCCAAGCUACUACUGACGUUGAGGCACGAAAGCGUGGGGAGCAAACAGGAUUAGAUACCCCAGUAGUC